AUUGAACACUGGCGGCAUGCCUUACACAUGCAAGUCGAACGGCAGCACGGGAGCAAUCCUGGUGGCGAGUGGCGAACGGGUGAGUAAUAUAUCGGAACGUGCCCAGUCGUGGGGGAUAACGCAGCGAAAGCUGUGCUAAUACCGCAUACGAGCUACGGAUGAAAGCGGGGGAUCGCAAGACCGCGCGCGAUUGGAGCGGCCGAUAGCAGAUUAGCUAGUUGGUGAGGUAAAGGCUCACCAAGGCGACGAUCUGUAGCUGGUCUGAGAGGACGACCAGCCACACUGGAACUGAGACACGGUCCAGACUCCUACGGGAGGCAGCAGUGGGGAAUUUUGGACAAUGGGCGAAAGCCUGAUCCAGCAAUGCCGCGUGCAGGAUGAAGGCCUUCGGGUUGUAAACUGCUUUUGUACGGAACGAAACGGUGAGCUCUAAUACAGUUUGCUAAUGACGGUACCGUAAGAAUAAGCACCGGCUAACUACGUGCCAGCAGCCGCGGUAA
rnacentral:rRNA from 1 species